rnacentral:rRNA from 1 species
CCUACGGGUGGCAGCAGUGGGGGAUAUUGGACAAUGGGGGGAACCCUGAUCCAGCGACGCCGCGUGAGUGAAGAAGUAUCUCGGUAUGGAAAGCUCUAUCAGCAGGGAAGAAGCAAUGACGGUACCUGAGUAAGAAGCUCCGGCUAACUACGUGCCAGCAGCCGCGGUAAUACGUAGGGGGCAAGCGUUAUCCGGAAUUACUGGGUGUAAAGGGAGCGUAGACGGUGAUGUAAGUCUGGAGGGAAAGGCGGGGGCCCAACCCCCGGACUGCUCUGGAAACUAUGUGACUGGAGUGAAGGUGAGGUGGGCAGAAUGCGUAGUGUAGCGGUGAAAUGCGUAGAUAUUAGGAGGAACCCCAGUGGCGAAGGCGGCUCACUGGACUGUAACUGACGUUGAGGCUCGAAAGCGUGGGGAGCAAACAGGAUUAGAUACCCGGGUAGUC